rnacentral:lncRNA from 1 species
GCGAGGCGUCCCCUCGGCGGCCGCCUCAGUUUCCCUGGCCGUAAAACGCGGGCGAUGGCGCUCGAUGCCCCGGGAGACGCCGGGGUCCGCGGGCCCUUCCGGCACCGGGUCCUCCUUCAGGUUCGGGCACCCGGCUGCCUCCACGCGGGGCGAGCGCGGCGAUGGGAUCGGUCCGUGCUGCGCUCAGCCCCGCUUUCGCUAUCCCUCUGCUCCAGGGGCAGCAAAAUCAGCAGAUGAGCCCCCAGCGCGCCUGCGGCCCACACACUGCGGCCGUAACAGUUAAACAGACGGGGAACAUUCAUGUGCGUAGAGCUCUUCACGGGGCGAUACAGAAAUGUGUCGUUCUAAAGCGUUAACGACCUGCAAUUUGCAUAUCCUCCAACACAUGGAUUUUACUGAUUCAAUUAUGGAUGUGUGCAAAGAAUCUGCUGCUCGCUAUAUGGGAACACUUUCAGUUUCCCAAGUUAAAACAUGAAAUUGCACAUCAUCAUUUGGAUCCCCAAAGAGGAAAAGAAAAAUUCACAACCUGCCAGUGAAAUACUCAGGCCACUUGGAUGAAGACCGAGGUCCUCCAUAGAAUCCAGGUGUUAUUUACUAACUAAUCAGAAAUUAAUAUCAAAAUAGGACUUAAAAAUAACAAGGCUGUGUUAUUACAGCAGUCUUUCCAGUUGUGUACGCUUUACUAAUCUAAAUUGGGUAACAGAACUGGAGAAAAGGAAGACUACACAGACUUAUCAUAAGCUGUUAGUGAACGUGAUAGAAAUGCGUAAUUUGUUAAAGCGAAUUACAGCUCUGAUUUGUCAAAUGAGGAGGUGAAUUAUCCUAGGAUUUGCUAUGCUGUUGUGGCGUUAGAAGAUUGGAUCUUUAGCAGCAAAGGUAACCUCAACAAUAUUUUCUGCUUAAGAAAGUGCCUUGGUUAAGGUAGACCGUGAUAUCGUCUUUGACUAAGCUCUCUGGGCUAUUGAUUCUGUCAUAUUCCAAAGGCAGUAUUGGUUUGAAGCCGAAUCUCACGGUCAAUGUCAACAUGCAAUCCACAAAGACCCUGGCGCCCUUCCACGGUAUGCACUAACCAAAACUUUCUCACUGUGAAAUCCUUUUUUUAAAAACAAGAAAACAAAAAACAAAAACCAAAAAACCUUACUGUGAAUCCUUUCCCAAGGAAUGGUCCCACCUUCACCUCGGAAAGAGGCGUGGCUUGCUCUGUAAGCAGGUCCACCCUGAGGAGACCGCUGGUGCAAGAGCCCUGCUUGCAGAACACACAGGGGGUUUUCCCACAUUCUUACUGGAGUCAGAUUCGGCAAAGCAUUUCAAGCAACUGCUGGACACUUCAAAUACCACUCCCUGUUAACAACGCCCUGAGUAUCUCACUGUCUCCAGGAUCUGGUUUAAAGGGAAACACAGAAAUGGCCAACAGCUCCCUCCCCAGGCAGGACUGCGAUUUCACAGACAACCUAUAGGCAUCCCCAGUCUGGUGAAUAAACAGGAGAGUGAGAGGAAAACAGCAAUCAUUCAACUCCAGUAGAUGUAAAGCCUCCAGAAGAAUGUGUCCCGGGAAGGUCAGAAAUGUCAUUUUUUUCCUCCAGCACAUUUCAUCUGCCACAUUCCGCCGUCCGAUGUUUGAGGAAGGAGCCCCGCCUUUCCUUCAGGGGUUCUUGUCGCCAAGUUUGAUGGUGACAGUUUUCACUUCUGUGUAUUCGGCCAAAGCGUAUUCACCUCUGUGAUCACAGAAAAGAGGAAAAUUCAAAAUGGGUACAUCCCUUAGCCAUUGUGUAGAAACUGUUCUGAGGCUUCAUCAUUCCAUCAGGCCGUUGGAGGCUUAUGCAAAAGGUUAAAAUGUGACGACCUCAUGGAAUAAUAGCCAGGACUAUAACAGCACUAGUAAGUGUCAGUAGCUGCAUAUGUGACUUAAAUGUAAAUAUCAAGGUCUUCUUCUGUGUGAUGCUUUUGAAAUGGCCAGGACUAAGGGUUUCCCUUUAGAGAAUGAAGGGGAUUUUAAAAAAAGUAAAGAGGUGAAUUCCCUGGGGUGGCAAUAGAGAGCAAAACGAGAGAGCCUGGUGGACGGUGGGGUGUCUGUGAACGAGGGAGGGGCAGAAAUUACACUGGGUUGAUAACUUUUAGAUGGCAAUUGGGAGCUGCUUGAAGAGGAGACAGAAGAGGCAGAGGCCCAAAGCUAUUGGCUGGGGAUGUGGCCAGAGGACCAGUGGGAAGAACACCAAGGGCCUGAAGCUGGCCUCAGAGUGCACAGCUGGGGACCAGCUGUCAGGCAGUGAGGCCAGCCUAGGGGGCAUGAGAGAAGCAGACGUUAGCACAGAGUGGACAUGGGGAGGCCACAGCUUUUGGGUUCACAUCCUUGGUAUAGUUCCUUUCUUUAAAUCUUGCAGGGCUCAGGUGAUCCUUCCCUGGCACCAUGGGCCGUCUUCAGGGUAGCUUCCCUUCCAAGACCCAAGAGGCAGCUUUGGAGAGAUUUAAAUCCUUCUAAGCGCUUGAUCUGCUGUCAGGUGAAGAAAAAUGUGUGCUUGUUUAGGAAGAGAUGAAGGUAGAGGUGGCCACUGGAGUCUCUGUAGUUAAAAAGACCUGUGACAGAAUCCCAUCUCCUCCCUUAGAUCAAUGGUUCUCAAAGUGUGGUCCCCAGACCAGCAGCAUCAGCCUCACCUCUGAACUUGCUAGAAAUGUAGAUUCUCAGGCCUCCCCCAGCCCUACUAUCGUAGGCAGAAUAAGGAUCUCCCCAGGUAUCCAAAAUUGGAUCCCCCAAACCUGUGAAUAUGUUGGGCUACAGAGUGAAGAAUUAAUGUUGCAGAUGGAAUUCAAGUUACUAAUCAAUUGACUUUAAAAGAGGGAGACUCUCCUGGAUCAUCCAGGCAGACCCAGUGUAAUCACAAGGGUCCCCAAAACUGGCAGAAGAAGAGAGGCAGAGCAAAAUGAGAUUAUAGAAACAGGUUCAGAGAGCAGCAGUGCUGGCUUUGAAGAUGGAGGAUGGGGCCACCAGCCUAGGAAUGCGAGCAGCCUCUAGAGGAUGGAAAAGGCAAGGAAGUAGAUUCUCUCCUGAGAACCUCCAAAAAGGAAUGAAGCCCUUGAUUUUAGCUCAGGGAGACCUGUGUCAGAUUUUUAUCCUACAGAACUAUAAGAUAAUAGAUUUAUGUUAUUUAAGCCACUGAUGUUAUGGUAACUUCUUGCAGGAGCAAUAAAAGACUAAUAAACUUACUGAAUCAGAAA